rnacentral:rRNA from 1 species
ACGAACGCUGGCGGCGUGCUUAACACAUGCAAGUCGAGGGGUCGGAGCAAUCCGGCACCGGCGAACGGGUGCGUAACACGUGAGCGACCUGCCUCUUUGCGGGGGAUAGCCGGCCCAACGGCCGGGUAAUACCGCAUACACCAGGACUACCGCAUGGCGGACCUGGGAAACCGUAUGGGCGGAGAGAGGGGCUCGCGGCCUAUCAGCUAGUUGGCGGGGGGUAACGGCCCACCAAGGCGACGACGGGUAGCUGGUCUGAGAGGAUGGCCAGCCACAUUGGGACUGAGAGACGGCCCAGACUCCUACGGGAGGCAGCAGUGGGGAAUCUUGCGCAAUGGCCUAACGGCUGACGCAGCGACGCCGCGUGAGGGAUGAAGGCCUUCGGGUCGUAAACCUCUGUUGCCCGGGACGAACAAGCGGUUUCGACCGCUCUGACGGUACCGGGUGAGGAAGCACCGGCUAACUCCGUGCCAGCAGCCGCGGUAAUACGGAGGGUGCGAGCGUUGUCCGGAAUCACUGGGCGUAAAGGGCGCGUAGGCGGUGGCCUAAGCGUGCGGUGAAAGCCUGGGGCUCAACCCCGGGUCGGCCGUGCGGACUGGGCGACUGGAGCAUCGUAGGGGCAGGCGGAAUUCCGGGUGUAGCGGUGGAAUGCGUAGAGAUCCGGAAGAACACCGGUGGCGAAGGCGGCCUGCUGGGCGAUAGCUGACGCUGAGGCGCGACAGCGUGGGGAGCAAACAGGAUUAGAUACCCUGGUAGUCCACGCCGUAAACGAUGGGCACUAGGUGCCUGGGGGAGCGACCCCCCGGGUGCCGGCGCUAACGCAUUAAGUGCCCCGCCUGGGGAGUACGGCCGCAAGGCUGAAACUCAAAGGAAUUGACGGGGGCCCGCACAAGCGGUGGAGCAUGUGGUUUAAUUCGACGCAACGCGAAGAACCUUACCUGGGCUUGACAUGCACGGGAAAGCCGGUGGAAACACCGGCCCCUCUUCGGAGUCCGUGCACAGGUGCUGCAUGGCUGUCGUCAGCUCGUGUCGUGAGAUGUUGGGUUAAGUCCCGCAACGAGCGCAACCCCCGUCCCUAGUUGCCAGCGAGUCAUGUCGGGGACUCUAGGGAGACUGCCGGUGCCAAACCGGAGGAAGGUGGGGACGACGUCAAGUCAUCAUGGUCCUUACGUCCAGGGCUACACACGUGCUACAAUGGCGCAUACAGAACGAUCCGAUACCGCGAGGUGGAGGAAAUCACUUAAAACUGGGCCCAGUUCGGAUUGGAGGCUGCAAUUCGCCUCCAUGAAGCCGGAAUCGCUAGUAAUGGCGCAUCAGCUACGGCGCCGUGAAUACGUUCCCGGGCCUUGUACACACCGCCCGUCACAUCAUGAAAGCCGUUUGUACCCGAAGUCGCCCCUUAAAAGGCGCCGAAGGUAUGGAUGGUGAUUGGGAUGAAGUCGUAACAAG